rnacentral:rRNA from 1 species
GAUGAACGCUAGCGGCAGGUUUAACACAUGCAAGUCGAGGGGUAGGGAAAGCUUGCUUUUCUGAGACCGGCGCACGGGUGCGUAACGCGUAUGCAAUCUACCUUUCACAGAGGGAUAGCCCAGAGAAAUUUGGAUUAAUACCUCAUAGUAUAAUUGAAUGGCAUCAUUUAAUUAUUAAAGAUUUAUCGGUGAAAGAUGAGCAUGCGUCCCAUUAGCUAGUUGGUAUGGUAACGGCAUACCAAGGCAACGAUGGGUAGGGGUCCUGAGAGGGAGAUCCCCCACACUGGUACUGAGACACGGACCAGACUCCUACGGGAGGCAGCAGUGAGGAAUAUUGGACAAUGGGCGCAAGCCUGAUCCAGCCAUGCCGCGUGCAGGAUGACGGUCCUAUGGAUUGUAAACUGCUUUUAUACAGGAAGAAACACCUCUACGUGUAGAGACUUGACGGUACUGUAAGAAUAAGGAUCGGCUAACUCCGUGCCAGCAGCCGCGGUAAUACGGAGGAUCCAAGCGUUAUCCGGAAUCAUUGGGUUUAAAGGGUCCGUAGGCGGUCAGGUAAGUCAGUGGUGAAAGCCCAUCGCUCAACGGUGGAACGGCCAUUGAUACUGUCUGACUUGAAUUAUUAGGAAGUAACUAGAAUAUGUAGUGUAGCGGUGAAAUGCUUAGAGAUUACAUGGAAUACCAAUUGCGAAGGCAGGUUACUACUAAUUGAUUGACGCUGAUGGACGAAAGCGUGGGUAGCGAACAGGAUUAGAUACCCUGGUAGUCCACGCCGUAAACGAUGGAUACUAGCUGUUGGGAGCAAUCUCAGUGGCUAAGCGAAAGUGAUAAGUAUCCCACCUGGGGAGUACGAACGCAAGUUUGAAACUCAAAGGAAUUGACGGGGGCCCGCACAAGCGGUGGAGCAUGUGGUUUAAUUCGAUGAUACGCGAGGAACCUUACCAAGGCUUAAAUGUAGAUUGACCGGUUUGGAAACAGACUUUUCGCAAGACAAUUUACAAGGUGCUGCAUGGUUGUCGUCAGCUCGUGCCGUGAGGUGUCAGGUUAAGUCCUAUAACGAGCGCAACCCCUGUUGUUAGUUGCCAGCGAGUCAUGUCGGGAACUCUAACGAGACUGCCAGUGCAAACUGUGAGGAAGGUGGGGAUGACGUCAAAUCAUCACGGCCCUUACGCCUUGGGCUACACACGUGCUACAAUGGCCGGUACAGAGGGCAGCCACUGGGUGACCAGGAGCGAAUCUAUAAAACCGGUCACAGUUCGGAUCGGAGUCUGCAACUCGACUCCGUGAAGCUGGAAUCGCUAGUAAUCGGAUAUCAGCCAUGAUCCGGUGAAUACGUUCCCGGGCCUUGUACACACCGCCCGUCAAGCCAUGGAAGCUGGGGGUGCCUGAAGUCGGUGACCGCAAGGAGCUGCCUAGGGUAAAACUGGUAACUAGGGCU